rnacentral:misc_RNA from 1 species
CGACCCAGCGAAAGCUGUUUUGAGGGAUGUGACUUCGGUUGCCCCCUUUGAGAGCAUCGGCGCCAGCAGCGAGCCGGAACGCAGCAGAUUGCGGUUCCUCAACGCGGCAGUCCGCCGUAAAACCCGCCUCUGGCGAUUUUACCA